GGGAAGUGAGCACGCGCAGUGCGUUUAGGAAGUUGUACGCAUACCCAACUGAAGCUUUCUUCCCUUCUCCAGUGGAGUGCACCUGCACAGAAACUCUCUCUGUACCACGUACCUGCUGCCAGAAGCUGGGAAGGAGUGGUGCUGGUGAUUCAAAACUGAUUUUCCUGCCUCUUCGAUGCCUCUUUUAGUGACAUACAGUUAAGACCAGGCACUCAAUGUGUGAAAGAGCCUCUUUCCCUACUGCUUCACCAAGUUUAAAACUUCAAAUUUUUUCAACUUGAUAGGUCAGAAGGAAACUACUUGCUCAAAAGGAGACCAGAGGAAUGAAAAUGUGGUAUAACCAGGAGUUGCGAAGUGGUCGUAGUUGUUCAUGUCUCAAUCUGGAUCAUCUUUGCUUUUUGCUUCUGCUUUGUGCUAUCCCUCUUCCCGUACCUCAGUUCUAUCUGG
rnacentral:lncRNA from 1 species